CAGCAAAGGCAAGCUGUUUGGAAGUUUCCACCCCUCCCUGCUGAGCAACUACUAAAAAUGACUACUGGAUAAAGAACUUGAAAAAAAGUUGGAACUUUGUUACUAUAUGUGCUGACUCCCGCGAGAAUCAGAUAUGCAUAAAAAUGGAAAGGAUGUGUGGACUCCCAGAACUCCUCAGCCAGCAUGACAACAGAUCCUCAACAUUUUAAGUUACAUUAUUAGUAAGCAUAAUUAUUUGUUCUCUGUUUAUAUACAGUAACUUGCCUUGCCUGUUUUGAUGGAGGCGUAGUUUUUCUCCUUGAUAGUUCCUUGAUUAGGAUAUUGUUUUCUGCCUGAUUGGUAUUAAACCCUACUUAUCUGGUGUUGGCUGCUGGAAAGGAUGUGUUCCUAUCUCUUUCCUGCUUAACUUUUUUAUUGUCUCUUUUGAAUGAUGCGUAAAUGUGUUUUAUCGCUGUGUGUCUAUUGAUAGCUGAAUGUCUAUGGAGAUUCUCAGUGAUCCAGAUCGUAGUUAUCCCCAAGGUGCUUUUUGAUGAGGCAACUGGACUUUGUUUUUCUUUGAAGACAUUUCACUUCUCACCCCCACUUACUUGCAUUGAUGAUGCUACCUAGUUUAGUAAUGAAACAUCUGUAAACAACCAAGCUUAGAGAGCACCAAGCACUUCAUAGUUCAAUCUGAGCUAUGUAUAUUCCCUUCCAUUGGAGUUGGUGUUCUUUUUUUACUGUUUUCUAUCUUAUUUUAAUUGUGAAGUGGUUCAGAGUUUUUCUGGAGUUCAAUGACGUCGACAUUUGAUGAACAAGUGAAUGGAGAUAUCACAGAUGACAACCAGGAACUUUCUGAACACAAUAAAUCAUAUUACCACUGAACUUUAUCUCUCUCUCCCUUCCCUAAGCUGAGUGAUGAAAAAUUUUUUUUACAAAGAAUAUUGCGUUGAGCUGAAUAGGAAGUGGCAAUUUUUGUUACCAAAAAAAAAAAAAAGACAACAAUCAUCCAUCUUUUCCAACUUGGCUCUCUUUAAAUUACAACUAAUUCAGUUGCAAUUAGACUAAGCUUGGAUAAGAGACACACAUUUGACAAAUUAAUCCAGCUCCUGAAAUAUCUCAUUUGGCAAUCCUAAAUCUGACCUUUUUUACUGGGUAACAGUCUAUUCCUGGACUAAGCAAUGUGAGACACAUUGGAGCUUCUGACGAUUAGUCUUUUCUAUAGACCUUGCAGGCUCCUCUCAUCACAAUUGCCAAAAGGUGGUGCCCAGUGAGAAAAGUGUGAAUACUAUAUUGUAAGCCAUAAAAUGGGAUAGUUGCAAAUUCUACAAAAACAAAGAAACCCUGUAAAAUUACCUUAUAAAUCUAUCAGAAUCCCCCUUAAAAUCCAAAAAUCCAUCUCAACCACUUUGCAGCUCCAUCACUUGUAUAAUAAUCAUCCUGUCUUUUCCCCUCCCUCCCUUCCUCUGCCACAUCCUGCUAUAAAUUCCAUGUCACUUUAACCCAUUAUUAGCCCAUUAUUUCUUAACCUUGAUAACUUUUAAGAUGUGUGGACUUCAACUUCCAGAAUUCCUCAGCCAGCAUGAGGAAUGGCUGGCUUAGAAUUCUAGGAAUUGAAGUCUACACUUUGCCACGGUUGAGAAACACUGCUUUAGCCAUCCAUGCAUCUGAUGAAGUUAUGUUCAACUCUCAAUAGCUUCAACUCUCAACUCUUCAUUACAGUAGUCUGAAAAAGGUGCUAGGAAAUUCCUUGUGAUUUUUUUGGCCACUAUGUGGUCCUUCUUUCAAAAGAAUUAAGGGUAGCCCCACACCGCCUAACAGUUGCCUAACAUUAAGGUGACCAACUGUCCUCCUUUAGGGAGAACAGUCCUCCUUUUAUAAGUGCUGUCCUCCCUCGAAAAGUGUCCUCCUACAUGUCCUCCUUUUCGAUAUUUGAAGACUAAUCUGCAGGGCU